CAGUCGCCGCGGUAAUACGUAGGGGGCGAGCGUUGUCCGAAGUUACUGGGCGUAAAGCGCGCGUAGGCGGCUUCUUGAGUCUGAGGUGAAAGGUUCAACGCUUAACGUGAACAGUGCCUUGGAUACUGGGGAGCUUGAGUAUGGGAGAGGGCAGUGGAAUGGCUGGUGUAGCGGUGAAAUGCGUAGAUAUCAGUCGGAACACCAGUGGCGAAGGCGACUCUCUGGUCUGUAACUGACGCUGAGGAGCGAAAGCGUGGGGAGCGAACAGGAUUAGAUACCCCCGUAGUCCCUGUCUCUUAUA
rnacentral:rRNA from 1 species